UGGGGAAUUUUGGACAAUGGGCGAAAGCCUGAUCCAGCCAUGCCGCGUGCGGGAUGAAGGCCUUCGGGUUGUAAACUGCUUUUGUACGGAACGAAAAGACUCUGGUUAAUACCUGGGGUCCAUGACGGUACCGUAAGAAUAAGCACCGGCUAACUACGUGCCAGCAGCCGCGGUAAUACGUAGGGUGCAAGCGUUAAUCGGAAUUACUGGGCGUAAAGCGUGCGCAGGCGGUUAUAUAAGACAGAUGUGAAAUCCCCGGGCUCAACCUGGGAACUGCAUUUGUGACUGUAUAGCUAGAGUACGGCAGAGGGGGGAUGGAAUUCCGCGUGUAGCAGUGAAAUGCGUAGAUAUGCGGAGGAACACCGAUGGCGAAGGCAAUCCCCUGGGCCUGUACUGACGCUCAUGCACGAAAGCGUGGGGAGCAAACAGGAUUAGAUACCCUGGUAGUCCACGCCCUAAACGAUGUCAACUGGUUGUUGGGUCUUCACUGACUCAGUAACGAAGCUAACGCGUGAAGUUGACCGCCUGGGGUAGUACGGCCGCAAGGUUGAAACUUAAAUGAAUUGACGGGGUCAUAGCUGUUUCCU
rnacentral:rRNA from 1 species